rnacentral:rRNA from 1 species
CUACGGGAGGCAGCAGUGGGGAAUAUUGGACAAUGGGCGCAAGCCUGAUCCAGCCAUGCCGCGUGAGUGACGAAGGCCUUAGGGUUGUAAAGCUCUUUUGGCGGGGAAGAUAAUGACGGUACCCGCAGAAUAAGCUCCGGCUAACUUCGUGCCAGCAGCCGCGGUAAUACGAAGGGAGCUAGCGUUGUUCGGAAUCACUGGGCGUAAAGCGCACGUAGGCGGAUGUGUCAGUCAGGGGUGAAAUCCCGGAGCUCAACUUCGGAACUGCCCUUGAUACAGCACGUCUUGAGUCCGAGAGAGGUGAGUGGAAUUCCUAGUGUAGAGGUGAAAUUCGUAGAUAUUAGGAAGAACACCGGUGGCGAAGGCGGCUCACUGGCUCGGUACUGACGCUGAGGUGCGAAAGCGUGGGGAGCAAACAGGAUUAGAUACCCCGGUAGUCC